rnacentral:rRNA from 1 species
CCUACGGGUGGCAGCAGUGAGGAAUAUUGGUCAAUGGCCGGAAGGCUGAACCAGCCAAGCCGCGUGAGGGACGAAGGCGCAGAGCGUCGCAGACCUCUUUUGCCAGGGGACAAAAUGCCGCACUAGACCCGUACUGAGGGUACCCGGAGAAAAAGCAUCGGCUAACUCCGUGCCAGCAGCCGCGGUAAUACGGAGGAUGCGAGCGUUAUCCGGAUUUAUUGGGUUUAAAGGGUGCGUGGGCGGUACUUUAAGCCGGCGGGGAAAGCGCGGGGCUCAACCCCGGAGAGCCGUUGGAACUGGGUGCCUUGAGUGCAGCGGAGGUAUGUGGAAUGCGCGGUGUAGCGGUGAAAUGCAUAGAUAUUGGGCAGAACCCCGGUGGCGAAGGCGGCGUGCUGUGCUGCCAAUGACGCUGAGGCACGAAAGCGUGGGGAUCGAACAGGAUUAGAUACCCCAGUAGUC